AUUGAACGCUGGCGGCAGGCCUAACACAUGCAAGUCGAACGGUAACAGGAAGAAGCUUGCUUCUUUGCUGACGAGUGGCGGACGGGUGAGUAAUGUCUGGGAAACUGCCUGAUGGAGGGGGAUAACUACUGGAAACGGUAGCUAAUACCGCAUAACGUCGCAAGACCAAAGAGGGGGACCUUCGGGCCUCUUGCCAUCGGAUGUGCCCAGAUGGGAUUAGCUAGUAGGUGGGGUAACGGCUCACCUAGGCGACGGUCCCUAGCUGGUCUGAGAGGGUGACCAGCCACACCGGAACCGAGACACGCUUCAGACCCCUACGGGAGGCAGCAGUGGGGAAUAUUGCACAAUGGGCGCAAGCCUGAUGGAGCCAUGCCGCGUGUAUGAAUAAGUCCUUCGGGUUGUAAAGUACUUUCAGCGGGGAGGAAGGGAGUAAAGUUAAUACCUUUGCUCAUUGACGUUACCCGCAGAAGAAGCACCGGCUAACUCCGUGCCAGCCGCCGCAGUAACAC
rnacentral:rRNA from 1 species